rnacentral:rRNA from 1 species
GCGGCGUGCCUAAUACAUGCAAGUCGAACGAGUUCUCGUUGAUGAUCGGUGCUUGCACCGAGAUUCAACAUGGAACGAGUGGCGGACGGGUGAGUAACACGUGGGUAACCUGCCCUUAAGUGGGGGAUAACAUUUGGAAACAGAUGCUAAUACCGCAUAGAUCCAAGAACCGCAUGGUUCUUGGCUGAAAGAUGGCGUAAGCUAUCGCUUUUGGAUGGACCCGCGGCGUAUUAGCUAGUUGGUGAGGUAAUGGCUCACCAAGGCGAUGAUACGUAGCCGAACUGAGAGGUUGAUCGGCCACAUUGGGACUGAGACACGGCCCAAACUCCUACGGGAGGCAGCAGUAGGGAAUCUUCCACAAUGGACGCAAGUCUGAUGGAGCAACGCCGCGUGAGUGAAGAAGGCUUUCGGGUCGUAAAACUCUGUUGUUGGAGAAGAAUGGUCGGCAGAGUAACUGUUGUCGGCGUGACGGUAUCCAACCAGAAAGCCACGGCUAACUACGUGCCAGCAGCCGCGGUAAUACGUAGGUGGCAAGCGUUAUCCGGAUUUAUUGGGCGUAAAGCGAGCGCAGGCGGUUUUUUAAGUCUGAUGUGAAAGCCCUCGGCUUAACCGAGGAAGCGCAUCGGAAACUGGGAAACUUGAGUGCAGAAGAGGACAGUGGAACUCCAUGUGUAGCGGUGAAAUGCGUAGAUAUAUGGAAGAACACCAGUGGCGAAGGCGGCUGUCUGGUCUGUAACUGACGCUGAGGCUCGAAAGCAUGGGUAGCGAACAGGAUUAGAUACCCUGGUAGUCCAUGCCGUAAACGAUGAAUGCUAGGUGUUGGAGGGUUUCCGCCCUUCAGUGCCGCAGCUAACGCAUUAAGCAUUCCGCCUGGGGAGUACGACCGCAAGGUUGAAACUCAAAGGAAUUGACGGGGGCCCGCACAAGCGGUGGAGCAUGUGGUUUAAUUCGAAGCAACGCGAAGAACCUUACCAGGUCUUGACAUCUUUUGAUCACCUGAGAGAUCAGGUUUCCCCUUCGGGGGCAAAAUGACAGGUGGUGCAUGGUUGUCGUCAGCUCGUGUCGUGAGAUGUUGGGUUAAGUCCCGCAACGAGCGCAACCCUUAUGACUAGUUGCCAGCAUUUAGUUGGGCACUCUAGUAAGACUGCCGGUGACAAACCGGAGGAAGGUGGGGAUGACGUCAAAUCAUCAUGCCCCUUAUGACCUGGGCUACACACGUGCUACAAUGGAUGGUACAACGAGUUGCGAGACCGCGAGGUCAAGCUAAUCUCUUAAAGCCAUUCUCAGUUCGGACUGUAGGCUGCAACUCGCCUACACGAAGUCGGAAUCGCUAGUAAUCGCGGAUCAGCACGCCGCGGUGAAUACGUUGCCCGGGCCUUGUACACACCGCCCGUCACAACCAUGAGAGUUUGUAACACCCGAAGCCGGUGGCGUAACCCUUUUAGGGAGCGAGCCGUCUAAGGUGGGACAAAUGAUUAG